GUAAGGGGCUUGAAGAGUUUUGUGUAGCCCCAGAGAAGGGCACAGGAGAGGAAAAUAACGGAGAGGAAAAUAACGGAAAUAAUAAUAACGGAGAGGAUAGGGAACUGGACCGAGGACUGUUAUCUUCUCUUAAUUUGGCCGAUGAUUUAACAGGAAAUGUAAUGCGCAUUUUGGUCAAUUCCUACUAAACUGGACAUCCGGUACAGAUGUAUUUGCUGUUGCUCGUUUACCUGUGUUCCAUUUAUUUUGAUGCAAACUCAAAUUUAGCAUAAUAGAUUGUUAACUAUACCACAAAUUAGAAUGUUCUUUUAGAGUGAAGUUCAAAAUGCUUCAUAUAAAUAACUAUUCUAGAUAUGCAAUGCAAAAACUUAUUCGGUCAAUGAGCCAAUAUUAUUAUAGGGUAGCUAUUCCUCGAAAGAAAUAAGCCUACUGUGGAUUAAUUCGCCUAUAUUUGCUUCAUAAUUGAAAGUAAAAUCGAGAAAGGAAUCUGAAAAAUUGCCAUUUCGUCUCAGAGCUGGGGGGAGAAAGGGAACGUGAGGCUGCUGCUGGACAUUGGACGGGGAGGGGACACCACUGCAUCUCUCUCUCUCUCUCUCUCUCUCUCUCUCUCUCUCUGUCCCCGUGGAGAGCAGGGGGGAUUGAACGGCAAGAAACACAUCAUGCAACAUAAUGGUAACGGAGAGGAGAGGCAGUCGGCCAUCCAAUCCGAGCCUCAGCUCCAGGGGACGCCGAGUGGAAGCAUUCCACACAUCCCAGGCAGGGACACCCUUAGCGACCCCACACAUUUCCAACUGCCUGCCCAGUCAAAACUGGAGUUCAAACGCAACGCAGUCACAGAGGACUACAAAAUAACAACUCAAGUACUAGGACUGGGUAUCAGUGGGAAGGUGAUGGAAUGCUACUGCAAGAAGACAGGGGAGAAGUGUGCCCUCAAGAUUCUGUAUGAUAGUCCUAAGGCGCGGCGGGAGGUAGAGCUGCAUUGGAGAGUGUCGGGGGGCCCAUACAUCGUUCACAUCCUCAGCCUUUAUGAGAACAUGCACCAGGGGAAGAAAUGCCUGCUUAUCAUCAUGGAGUGUAUGGAAGGAGGGGAGCUGUUCAGUCACAUUCAGGCCAGAGGGGACCAGGCAUUCACAGAGAGAGAGGCUGCGGAGAUCAUGAGGGACAUAGGCACGGCCAUUGAGUACCUUCACCACAUGGACAUAGCUCACAGAGAUGUCAAGCCUGAAAAUCUGCUCUACACCACCAAGGAGACCAAUGGCGUGCUGAAACUAACUGACUUUGGCUUUGCCAAGGAGACCACCCUCCACAACUCCCUCCAGACACCCUGUUACACCCCCUACUAUGUUGCCCCCGAGGUGCUUGGUCCAGAGAAGUAUGACAAGUCGUGUGACAUGUGGUCUCUGGGCGUGAUCAUGUACAUCCUGCUGUGUGGGUUCCCUCCAUUCUACUCUAACACUGGCCAGGCCAUCUCUCCAGGGAUGAAGCAGAGGAUCAGGAUGGGCCAGUACAAGUUCCCCAACCCUGAGUGGGCGGAAGUGUCGGAGGAAGCCAAACAGCUGAUCAACCAGCUGCUGAAGACAGACCCUAACGAGAGGAUGACCAUUGGGCAGUUCAUGAACCACCCUUGGAUCAAUCAGUCGAUGGUGGUCCCUCCGACUCCUCUGCACACGUCCCGUGUUCUGACAGAGGACAGAGAACUGUGGGACGAUGUCAAGGUCCCAGCCAGGCUUCCGCACCACCGCAGCCACACUGGAGAUGGCGGGUUGGACCAGAUUACCCGAGGAGCUGUCUGGAGUGUCACGCAUAUAAUAUGCUUUCAGCAUGUUGACAUGACACACACCUAAAGAACGCCUACGGUCUGAGGGUGUUUAUCACAUAAUUGGUGUCAGAGUUUCUUUUCCACAAGAUAUGGCCCGGAAAAACCUGCCGACAGAUGAGCCAGGGAUUGGCAACAAAACCAAAACUUGAUCCCCUUGUGCAAAAGAAUGGCCAACAGCCUCUGUCAUGUAAUUGCAUGCGUUUGAGAUGAGACUUUUGGGCCAACGCACAUGCGGCGCUCAGUCUCUCCCACAUCUUACUGACAUAAUCCAACACAUUUUUAGGGGCGCUACUGGGUGUAGGAGGUAGUUUCGAAGGAGCAUAUCCUUUUAGCAGACCCCAUGGGGUGUGCCCAAACACAAGGUCAGCGGGGCUGAACCCUAAGGACUCUUGUAUUGUUUCCCUGAUUGUCUUAUUUACUAAGGGCACCCCCUCAUCCCAAUCGGUACUGGUAUCCAUGCAAUACUUGCGUAGCGUCGCCUUAAGCGUCUGAUGCCAGCGUUCGAAGGCCCCUUGACUCUCCGGAUGAUACGGACUGGAGACCUGAUGGGAAAUACAAAGUCUUUAACACAUUUAAGAACAGUUUUGACAUAAAUUUGGUUCCCUGAUCAGUUUGGAUUACUUUAGGGAGGCCAAACAGAGAAGAACUUCACUAGUGCCUUAAACACAGUCUUAGCCGUUAUAGUAUGCAGAGGGAUAGCCUCUGGGUAUCGAGUAGCACUGCACAUUGUUAGUAAGAACCGGUUACCUGACCUGGUUUUCGGCAACAGACCUACACAAUCGAUUAUCACUCGUAAAAAUGGUUCCCCCACCACAGGAAUCGGGCAGAGCGGCGCACGAGGAACUGUUUGAGUCGCUUUCCCAGUGAGUUGACAUGCUUUACAAAAAUUGGACAAUGUCAGACUCCAAACCUGGCCAGAAAGAAAAUUACGAAGGACUCGGUUAUAAGUCUUCGUGAUCCCCAAAUGUCCGGACCACGCCUGGUCAUGGACGAAUGACAGCACCUGUUGUCAGAACAACCACUUGAAACAUGUCACUCCAGUUACUAACUGUUAUGAGCUGCCCAUUUAUGCAUCAAAACGUCUGCUUCCAUAAAGUACGCAGUCUCCCUAGUUUCAGCUUCCUCAAUGGAAAUUACUGAAGUUAAACACUUCAAAGACUGAAUGUCAAAAGGGAGACACCAAUCACCUUCUCGGGGGUGCCAGACAAAAGAAUAUCAUGUAAUUGGGGCGCGAUUUAACCUUCCCAUGCCUUAGUUGUUUUUAAACGGGGGUAAAAACCAUCAGCCUUCCAGAAGGAAUACUCGGUGCAUUGUCUUCUACCUCACAUUCUCAAAAAUGGAACUACACAAUUCCACCACAUCUCCCAGCUUGCGAGAUUGUGCCCUCGUUAACACAAGCAGGAAAAACAUGAGGAAAUGCUUGAACCAAUUUAUCAUCUGCAGUUUUGAUUUCUGGGUUGUCUACUACUUCUAACACAGGAGUUACGUUACCACCAGCGAUAUCGUUCCCUAGUAGCAAUGGGACUCCUUUUACUGGCAGUGUAGACACUACACCGACACAGAAACGUCCUGAUACCAAGUCUGACACUAAGUGGACCCAGUGUAAUGGGACAGGUAUGUUUGUCUCUAUACCCUGUAAUAUGACAUGCGAGCCACAAUACGUUUCAGGGGACCGGGUAAAGCGUCAGUAAUGAUUAUUGACUGCACCGCACCGGUGUCUUGUAAGAUUUGAUCUGCUUGUUCUCCAGUUAAGGAAAGAACCGGCAGAGAUAAAACAGAGCAUAGACAGGAUCCGGUUUCCCAAACGCUGAAUCAGUAACUCGGUCCAACGGACGAGCCAAAGACUGGACUAAACCCACGCUUUUUAACUUAAGGGAUGGUGACAGGGACUGUUUCGGUUUAUUUUGCAAAACCGGGCAGUCCGCAAUCACGUGACCCUUUUGGUAACAGUAAAAACAUUCACGGAUUUCAUGCGAAGGCUUAGGGUCGCCGUCGAGAAAAAAAAAGACCCGAACGAGGCACUGAUAACGUUAUCGUUCAGCUUUCAAAACGAGGCACACCAGCGUACUCAUCUGCCAACACUGCUGCCUGGGCCAAUGUCGCCACUUUCUGUUCAUUGCAAUGAACUACAACUCUCAGGCAGGUUGCUUUUAAAAUCCUCCAACAGCAUCAACGCCCGAAUAUCAAAGGUGUUAGCGUAACGGGCCGAACACCAGCGAUUGAACAGACUUUGUCCCUAGCAAAUGCAACAAAAGUACAGUGAGCGCUGCCUUUAAGCUUCAGGCACCAACUCAUAAGCCCGCAACACGGUUGUUUUUAACUAUAUCGUACUGUAAACUUGUCUUCCAAGGAGAAAGUGGCUACUACUUCCUGGGCUUUCCCAGACAAUUUAGAUUGCAACAGGGGCGGCCAAACCUCAACUGGCCAAAGCAGCGCAGCGGCCACAUGCGCAAACGCAGAGAAAUAGGAAUCAACUUCUGAAAUGGAGGGACUUUUUACUCACUUUGAAGUAGGCUUGAGGAUGAGUAGGUUGUGGAGUCACACUGGAGCCAGCGUCUAGCUCCAGUCUAGCAAACUCCAGCUGGAUAAACACGCGCUUUAUAUUUUAGCGCCAUUUCCAAACAGGAUAGCAUCACCUUUAGCCUAGCGGUCCCGUCUGAACAACCCGAAGCAGAAGAUAAAGGGUUGAAGCGGGGCAAUGUUGAGGGUGUACGAGCAACCCCUUCCUCCGACUUGGCAUCGGAAGGUCUAUCCACCUCCCUCAUCUUUCAACAAGAAAAUUCAUUUUCUCACUAAACCCUCCCUGACUAGCACCAACAACUCAGCCUUUAGGGCUUCCUCAGGGACGAAGAGUCCAUAAUGGUCAGCUAUGGCGCAAAGGUCUACUUUAUGAAACCCCACCAAUCGAUCAACCGAGGGCACUUCAAUAAAAUGGGAGAUGGCUGAGGCAGCCAUGGUACACAGCAGCCUGGUGAAAACACGUAAAUUAAGUCACCCAAACUCACAACCUACCACCACACCUCAAUCACCAAUCACAGAGAUCAGAGCAGAGGAGUACUGUGGAUUUAAUAAUCCUGGAUGAACCCCCCAUUAUGUUACGUAUGCCUCUUGGCGGAGGGAACGCAACACCCUGCUACAACUCAACUCCCCGUGGAGUGAAAAAGGUAUGUGAUCGUUGGUGCAGGACAACAAAGGUAGAAAAGAUGACCGUUUACAGUGAAUUUAUUAUUCCUAACACAGUAAUGUGGGGAAAAGGGCUGGACAGAACCAAAAGAAAGAAAGUUAAAGUGAAAUAGUCCCCUCUCCUACCUACCCACUACUUACAUAAUCUUUUAGCACCUCCUGGUGCGCUAACCAAAAUACAGGGGGUGGUCCACCCAGGUCUUACCUAGUGUGCAUAGACAGUAAAUACUACAGGUUAUGUACACCCGCAGGCCUCUUGCCUAAACACUCCAAAGGUGCAUUUCCCUCCCCCCAGGAACAAAUAAAACAAGAAUAAUUACUAACUGAAAGUGAACAAUUUCAAUAGUCAAAAACACUAAGCCCUAUUGGCAUACACAUACCUCAGGAGUAGCAGCUACAAAAUACAUCAACAAAUCUUUCACAGACCAACACAGGACAUCAAAGAAGCUCUCUCCUCCUGACCAAGGAACACUGGCUUUUAUCCAGAUGUAGAAGGAGUUGGUAAUUGAAGACAGCUGUUUCCCCUGACGAGAGGGAGGGUUCAGAGUGCCAAUCAUCGAUGGGGCCGACCAAUCAGCUGCUUGAAGAAUACAGGAUUCCAUUUCCUGAAAUACACACACACACAUACAUACAAACCCAAAACAACACAGAAACCGGGGAACGUAACACAGUUUUCUUAUGUCUUUACCAGUCACCAUGAGCUUGCAUGUUCCUUAAAAAACAAUAGGCUUUGUUGUAAAGGGUGUGGAUGUUUUUCUUUUGUAAAUUACUGAUGACUCAUUUUAACCACUUAAUUCUCUCAUCUCUUUCUCCUUUAACCUACCAGAGAGCUGAGUUGCUAUGGGAACAGGAACUGUAUGUUCCAUUUCGUUACUCUGCAUCUGCCCCUACUGCCACACCUUCCCUGCAAAUGACUGCCAGGUGAGCCUGAACCUUGCAGCUGUGGCAGAGAGGUUCUGUGCAGCCUUGGAGAGACAGAUCCAACAAGCCCCAGAUUUGGAAAGCAACACACACACGUCACAUCACAUUUACAAUAUAAUUAGUUCUCUCAGCUUCAGGCAGGCCAGUCCUCUUCUCUUUCUCCCCGCGUCUCCUCUUCCCCGAUCUCGCUGUCUCACGUCACUCUUUGUCAUUUUCUCCCCAUAACACUUUAUUUGACUGUUUAUCUCUUGCUGUCUUGCUUCCUCUCCCUGUCUUUCUCAAACAGAGCUAGUGGGCAGACUCAGCUGAACCGUACUGACAGUGUGGACUCUGCCUCAGGCUGUCUGUGAACAGGAACAGAGCAGAUCUGAGAUCAGCACUCCAUCUCCAGAUGUGUCAGAACGAGAAAUAUAUAGGCCUACAUCAGCACACUGGAGCUCAGACAGACAGAUAAUUCACUAUUAGAUACAUUUUAUGAUGCUGCAUUAGAAUGGAAGAAAAUAUAAAUGGCUGUCUGACUGAUUUAAUCUUGUCUCUUCUCCAGACAGUAGUCCCAGGUGGGAGUGGGCCCAGAGCAAGGCCUCAGUUCUAGUGAGCUGGACCCUGCUCUGAGGAAGCUGCUCAGGAAGGCGGGGCUAAACGAGGAGGAUAUGAAGGACAGACACACCCUCCUCCUAGAGGGGCACACCCUGAGAUGAUCAGAAAGAGCAUCAGCUUCCGAUCAUCUGUGACGCAGUGGUGACCCGUCAUUCAGGGCAGAGCCCCACCUGUUAAGCUUUUUGUUGCCUGUUUUUCAUGUUAUUUUGGCAUUAAUACAUGUCACAUAUGUUUGAAAACAAUGUAAAAAAAAUAAUUGAGUUAAUAAAGCUACAAAC